CGUAACAAGGUUUCCGUAGGUGAACCUGCGGAAGGAUCAUUACCGAGUGAGGGCCCUCUGGGUCCAACCUCCCACCCGUGUUUAUUUUACCUUGUUGCUUCGGCGGGCCCGCCUUAACUGGCCGCCGGGGGGCUUACGCCCCCGGGCCCGCGCCCGCCGAAGACACCCUCGAACUCUGUCUGAAGAUUGAAGUCUGAGUGAAAAUAUAAAUUAUUUAAAACUUUCAACAACGGAUCUCUUGGUUCCGGCAUCGAUGAAGAACGCAGCGAAAUGCGAUACGUAAUGUGAAUUGCAAAUUCAGUGAAUCAUCGAGUCUUUGAACGCACAUUGCGCCCCCUGGUAUUCCGGGGGGCAUGCCUGUCCGAGCGUCAUUGCUGCCCUCAAGCCCGGCUUGUGUGUUGGGCCCCGUCCCCCGAUCUCCGGGGGACGGGCCCGAAAGGCAGCGGCGGCACCGCGUCCGGUCCUCGAGCGUAUGGGGCUUUGUCACCCGCUCUGUAGGCCCGGCCGGCGCUUGCCGAUCAACCCAAAUUUUUAUCCAGGUUGACCUCGGAUCA
rnacentral:rRNA from 1 species